rnacentral:tRNA from 1 species
AAGCCCCGGCACCUCUUAGGGUGCUCCUCCAAACUUGCAUUUCGGUGUGCUUACACCACGGGG